ensembl:lincRNA
AUGCCAGUACAUGCCUCUUCCAGUGAGAAUAUUCUCCCUGGUCAUAAAGCCAAGCUCUCAAGACAUGGGAUGGGAGGAAAGGAAAAAGCUCAUGUGGGGCUACGAUUCUCCUUCUCAUGGCAAAGGACACAAAGGAUAGAGACCAAAGGAAACAAUGACUAUCUCGGUAGACCUGAGAGUACUCAUAACAAAUCUUUACCAGAGUCCCCAUACUCAAGGAACUACUUUACACAAACAUUUUCUCCUGCUAAUCUGAAUUUAGAAAAAGGAAAGAAGACUCCCCACGCUCGCUUCCACUGGAUUCUACAGGUGGAGCUCCAGGAGACUGAUCUGGAAGGACGGAAGUCAGUCACCAGAGAAAACUCUAGACCCUUAUCAGCCUGGAGAUGGCACCAGAGGAGCCUAAGUAACAAACCUUGUCUACUAUUACUUCCCUAUAUACAUUCUUUCUCACAACUUGCCUCCCUAGAAACUCAAAAGUCCUUUUCCUUUGUCGUGUCACUUCUCUAAAAAUGUAUUGUUCUUUUGUUAAUAUGCUAUAAUAAGCCCAAUUCUAAUCACUCCUUUGAGUUACUCAUCACUGGGUGCUCCCUUGUGUAUGUGUGAUGCACUUUUUAAUAAACUUGUUUGGGGUGCCUGGGUGGCUCAAUUGUUAAGUGUCUGCCUUCAGCUCAGGGUCAUGAUCCUGGGGUCCUGGGCUGAGUCCUGUCUUGGCUCCCUGUUCAGCAGGAAGCCUGGUUCUCCCUCUCCCCCUCUGCCUGCUUGUGUUCCCUUUCUUGCUAUAUCUCUCUAUCAAAUAAAUAAAUAAAAUAUUUAAUAAACUUGUUUAUUUUUCUCUGGGUAAUCUGUCUUUGUAGUCUAAUUACAUGGCUCCUGUCAGAGAAAUUAAGGUGGACAGAGAAAAAACAGUUUUUCUUCUCCUAUACUCCUACAGAAAUCCCCAUAGUCUGGCAUUUUUCUGUGUCUAAGCUCCUAUCUCUCCCACCCCUUAGCUCCCAUGACCAGCCUUUGUGGACAUAUUCAGUUGUUGGGGUUUAAUAUGUCUCUUCCCUAUUCAGAGACUAAGAGAAGGCUAAGCCCAGCCAAGGCAUCACUGCAUCCCAGAAGCCCUCCUGUCUUAUGCCUAAGGCAGGGCCAUUGCCAGCUUGUGUAGCACCCACCUACAUUCACCACCGUGGUCAUUUGCUCAGGGUCAGGCAUCCUCAGUAGACUUUAGGCUCCAUGAAAGCAGGGAUGGGUUGUUUUGUUCACCAUUCUACCUCCUGCCACCAGGAAUGAAACAGAGGAGGCAUGCACAAAUCCACUGAGUGCAGAACACAGGGCCCAGACACAGAGAACACUGUGGUUUUCAGCAAGCCCUGCUGCUCUGAAAGGGCAGGGCUCCUUCCCCUGCAAGGUCCCAACUGAUGUCAAGUCCCAUCUUUCCAGCCCUUUCAAAGAUAUACCUUACAUGGGUCCAUUUCACAUAAGCCCUUUUAUUAUUUACUCAGAUAAUACAUGUGCCUGAUGUAUCAACCAAACACCUAACUUGUUUCUGUAGUGAAUUUUAAAACUUCUUGAUCAAGGGGUGCCUAGGUGCCUCUGUGGGUUAAGCCUCUCCCUUUGGCUUGGGUCAUGAUCCCAGGGUCCUGGGAUCAAGCACAUUGGGUUGCCUGCUGAGCAGGGAGCCUGCUUCCCCCUCUCUCUCUGCCUGCCUCUCUGCCUAUUUGUG